CCCUUAGAUGUUCUGGGCCGCACGCGCGCUGCACUGACGAAUGCAACGAGCUUAUAACCUUGGCCGAAAGGUCUGGGUAAUCUCCAAAUUUCGUCGUGAUGGGGAUAGAUUAUUGCAAUUAUUAAUCUUCAACGAGGAAUGCCUAGUAAGCGCAAGUCAUCAGCUUGCGUUGAUUACGUCCCUGCCCUUUGUACACACCGCCCGUCGCUCCUACCGAUUGAAUGGUCCGGUGAAGCGCUCGGACCGCGGCCUCUUGACGGUUUUCCGUCGAUUGGCUGUGGGAAGUUCGUUAAACCUUAUCAUUUAGAGGAAGGAGAAGUCGUAACA
rnacentral:rRNA from 1 species